GUAAGCCAAUUUAAUGCCUUUAUGACAUUAGUGGUAGUGUGUCCACAACCUUGAGUUUAGAUUGGAAGAGAUUGAGGAAGGGCACGGAUACCUCAUUUGCCAGAGGCUGGGGAGUGAUGGCAGGAGCAGACUGCAGAGCUGCUCUGUUUGUGGGUUCAGAUCAGAGUUAAGCUGGCAUCAGGGCAAUUACAUUGCAUGUUGGUGCUCUCCUCAAGAGUUCUCCCCAGGCCUUCCCCAGCCAGGAUCUUCAUGCUUGUGGUUUCUGGUCCCCAUGAGUAAGCACCUCUGGCAGGUUCAGCCCUGGGAGGGCACUUCGUGCCUUGUGAUGAAUAACGGAGAGGGUUUUGUGGUGCUGCAGGGCAUCAGAAUUAAACCUCGUCCGAAAGAACACACACAUCACCCUCCAUCAGCUACUGCAGGAGAGAUCAGUGGUAUUUCUAGAGCGAUGUUAUAACCCAAGAGGGAUAAUAAUCUGUGAAGUUAGUUUUUUGCUGGUUCCUUAUAAGAAAAGUACUCAUUCUGCUCAUGAUAACACAGGCAAAAGUGAGGAGAUUUUUGUGCAGUUUUUCCUUUCUUUUGUUAUUUGUGCUUAAGGUGACCUUUAUAUCACUGGAAAACUACACUGUUGGGCACAUCUACUGGAAACCCAAAACCAGAGAUGACAGGCUGGUCUCCAUCCCUUAGGGAUUAGAACAAUCUCAUUGUUUAAUAGCUAAGCGACAGGUUUAAUGUUUAAACUAUAAAGUCCCUCUUUAGCUCAUUCUGCACUGGGACACUUGGUUGUUGAGUGAUUUCUGAGACUGUGUCCCCACAUCAGGUGUCAGAAAUAGUCACUGCUCUCUAGCCUGGAAUUGUCACUGCCAUGAAUACAGAAAUACCAGUUUAAAUGUUUAACUUCUUGGGAAACAUAAUUUUAAAUGCUUCCCUGUGAGUUCAAGCAUUGGAUUUGGUGAGUUGGCAAGGCAAAGGCUGCCCAUGUUCUGGAGUCCGAGGAGGCUUUCUGCUAAGCUACAUUUCAUGCUGGCUUUCUGUUAGCAGGUGGAUGGCACAGGCAUGUAGGACAAACACUUCCUUCCAAAAUGCUGAGUUUUAGGUUUUGGGUUUUUUUCACCUGAAGAAAAAAAUAAAUAUAAAUGUUGUCUGUUUAGUAAGCAGUUAUGAAGCAAGUAAAAUUAUGUCCAAGCUGUGCUCUGUCUUGAAUGAAACCAACUGCUGCCUUAUUCCCAGGCUCACCUAUAAUGACCAGUUCCUCUGGCCCGAGAGCUUUCUUCUGUGUGCUUGCACUCAGCUCAUCAGCACAGCCUGAGAUUGGCCUCCACCCCUACUGACAUGAGCUCUUCCAUAUAGACAUGGUGGAUUAGAUGUACGCCCUUGAUAAGUGCUUUUAUUAAAGGACUGAGUUUAGAAGAAGAGUUUAGAAAGAGUUCAGGAAGAGUUUAGAAAGUACCAGAACAUCACCCUGUAGUCAGUGUUGCAGGUUACUCUAUAACCAAGCUCAUUUCUCACCUGCCCCUUGUUUCUCCCACUCUCUUGUCUCAGCCUUUUUUGCCAAGAACCUACAUGUGAAACAUGGAUACACUCACUCUGUGCUGAUUCAGGGCUGAACAGCACUGGUCAUCGCUGAGAACUGGGGGAACCAUCCCUUAGCAAGAACACAUAAAAAAAAUUGCUUAGAUCCUCCAUGGCCCUCAAAGAAUUAACUGUCUGUAUACAAUACUGUAUUUACAGAGGUCAGAGGUGACUGCACGUUAUCCAGGACAAGCAGAAAGACACAAGGGGAAGAGGCACGUGGAAACCAACAGGAAUAUAAAACUUGGGAACUUGAUUGGAAAUCUUUCAGGUGAGUGAAGAUUUAGUUAAGUAAUGGUUGCUGGCUAUUGUAGAAAUGAACAGAGCACACUAGCACCGUGAGGAAGAUGGCAAAUUUUCUUUGUAUCAGUGAAAUGACUUCAUUUAAUCUCAGUGACACUUGAUAAGCCUGUGAAAAGCAAGAUUUGUAGCAUAUCAGUGGAAAGAUAGAUCAGCCUUUCCAUAGAACAAGUUUUCAUUGUGCCUCCAGAGGUCAAGGUCCUUCGUUCAUCAUCAGUAUCACUUGGCUCUCAUACCAUUUGUACCUACCUGCACUCUGCAUUUGAAUAUAGUGGCAUGCUGACUGUAGUCGGGUGGAG
ensembl:lncRNA